GACGAACGCUGGCGGCGUGCUUAACACAUGCAAGUCGAACGGAAAGGCCUGCUUUCCCUUGUGGAUUGCGGGUACUCGAGUGGCGAACGGGUGAGUAACACGUGAGUGAUCUGCCCCCAACUUGGGUAUAAGCCUGGGAAACUGGGUCUAAUUCCCGAUAGGACUGCAGGGUGGUGCCUGUGGUGGAAAACGAUUUUCUAGUGGUUGGGGAUGAGCUCGCGGCCUAUCAGCUUGUUGGUGGGGUAAUGGCCUACCAAGGCGGCGACGGGUAGCCGGCCUGAGAGGGUGGACGGCCACAUUGGGACUGAGAUACGGCCCAGACUCCUACGGGAGGCAGCAGUGGGGAAUAUUGCACGAUGGGCGGAAGCCUGAUGCAGCGACGCCGCGUGGGAGAUGACGGCCUUCGGGUUGUAAACUCCUUUCGACCGAGAGGAAGCCACCUGGUUGGGAGGGUGGUGACGGUAGUGGUAGAAGAAGCACCGGCUAACUACGUG
rnacentral:rRNA from 1 species